rnacentral:rRNA from 1 species
CAGCAGCCGCGGUAAUACGUAGGUGGCAAGCGUUGUCCGGAAUUAUUGGGCGUAAAGGGCUCGCAGGCGGUUUCUUAAGUCUGAUGUGAAAGCCCCCGGCUCAACCAGGGAGGGUCAUUGGAAACUGGGAAACUUGAGUGCAGAAGAGGAGAGUGGAAUUCCACGUGUAGCGGUGAAAUGCGUAGAGAUGUGGAGGAACACCAGUGGCGAAGGCGACUCUCUGGUCUGUAACUGACGCUGAGGAGCGAGAGCGUGGGGAGCGAACAGGAUUAGAUACCCCGGUAGUCCCUGUCUCUUAUAA